rnacentral:lncRNA from 1 species
AAGAGAUGAACAUUUUGACAACUGUGUUCUUACGGUAUGAUGCGGAGAAGAUAUAUUAUCCCAAUUCUGUUCUUCUUACAAAGCCUAUCAGUAAUUUCAGAAGAAGUCCAGACAUGGGGGAUUCUAUUGACAUCACCAUUGAUGUGUCAACUUCUGUUGAUGACUUCAAUGCUCUUAAGAAAGCUAUACAACUGUAAGUUAUUAAUCUCAUUUGCAUUCAAAAUAUUUCUAGUGCUAGACAAAAUUACCUCUUAAAGUAAUUAGCUUGCCUAAAUCACACUUGUUUUGCUAAUAGAAAUCAAUAUUUUCUAGAUAUUAGUUAAUUAUUACCGAUUUUUCUAUAUAUAUCUAGCACAUUAUGUAACACAUAUAUUGGUAUUAUGCUGAUAAAAUGCAAAAGCUUUAGAGAUUGGUUAAUUGAUAAUUAGUAUUUUUAUUAGUUUUCAAGAAAAUACCAUUAUGGAAUACUGCAGAUACAUUGAGAGCAAACCAAAGCACUGGAACCCAAAGCACACAUUGCUGGUGAAGGAGAUAGAAAAUGUAAACAAGAUGAAGCUUACUCUAUGUGUUCAACACACCAUGAACCAUCAAAACUACGGGGAAAAGAGCGCUCGAAGAUCGGAGCUUGUUUUUGAACUAAAGAAGAUUUUUGACAACCUUGGCAUUAAGUGCCAUCUCCUUCCACAACAAGUACAUCUUAUGCAUGUAGAUAUGACCCGCAAUGGGGGAAUGUCAAUGUAAUCUUCAUACAAAUGCAAUUAUUUGGAGUGGAAAAAGAAAAUUAUCACACAUUCAAUAUGGCCAUAUACCAGCCAUUCUCUUGCAUGUAUUUUCUUUUCCUUUUGUUAACUUCUUUGCUGUAGCUUAAAUUACUGCGAGAAUUAAUGAUGGAAAAGAAAAAAAUUAUAUAUAGGGAGUGCUUUUAUAAUUAAUAAAAUUCUUUUCUCAUUUCAUAUCGAUCACAUUAGUAGCCCUGUAGUGAAUACUAUAUAUGAAUUUAUCGAUCAUGUUAAUUGACUCGGCUAGGGUAAUAUGAUUUCGCGUAGGGAAAACUUCGUUCUCUGACCGCGAUAGCCAGUCUUUUCAGACGGGAGAAUCAAAGAAGCUUGUGAGCUUACGAGCGAGUCGGUCCGGCUUGCAGGGGAUGCUCGGAAUAAUUGUUCUAUAUAGCAUUCUUCCCGGCUCAGACUAGCUCAGCUUGAGGAGCUUUAUCAGCAGAACUGAUGAGUUCAUCGUCCACCGCAGCAACCAGGACAACAUUAUUUGUGGCAAGAUGUUGGCCUCUGACGAAAUUUCAGGAGCAAUACAUGACAUUCUAGGAGCAACAAAUCCUGCUCAGCUCAGCAACCAACAACAACAAGUAAUUUAUGGAGAGACGUUGGAUCCUGACAAAAUCCCAUAAACAACAAUCGAAACUUCAGCAGCAACAAACUCUCCUCAGAUCAGCAACCAACAGGAUAAUGUAAUCUAUGGAGAGAUGUUGGGGGUUAAUUCACUUGAAUAGUAUGGACACAAAACAAAUGCUAAGUUACCACGUUAAUAGUGCAAACACAACGAAAAACAAAGCAUGCUAGAGGUGAAGAGAAACAGACCUGGAGACGAAGAAACCAUAGUGGCAUUUUUUUUGCAGAUUGUUUUUGCAGAAAAAUGGAGCAAAAAGCAUUUUUUCUAUCUUUCUUUUUUUGUUUUCUCUGCUCAUUCUUUCUUUUUCUCGCUGCCCCCACUAGGUCAUUAGAGAGGCUUAUAUAUAGUCUAAUAUAUCUCUAUUCAGAAAAGAUUUAAUGCAUUAAUUCUAGGAAGCAAAUCCCUACAGAUUUGCAAUAACAAAAAUGCAAAAAGGAAACUGAAAUAUUCUGAUUUCUAUUAUGAUUAUAGCAAUUAGUUUUCAUUGAUCAAAUGGUGGUAUAGCUCCUUUUUUUCCUUCCAUAGCUGUGACCAUGAAGUACCAGCUGCUCUCUUUUAAAUGAGACAAAAAAAAAACGUGGCCUUCAGCUCUCCAUUCAAGUGAGAGAAACAUGGAAACCAAACAUGAAAUUGCAAAUAAAAAGGAAAGAAAAAAACAGGCUAGCUGUGCAGGUUAAAACGUGGUUUCUCCAAUUUCUUCCUUCUACAAAAUUACUUCUAAUUUUAUCUUCAAUCAACUUCCUUGUUUUAGCACCUUUUCCAAUUGGUACUUGGUCCAAAAAAGGGCUUCAAACUUUAAGCAUCUUGCAAUUGUGUCCCUGCAAACUCGGGCAAAAAAAAAAUCCUUCUCGCUGUAGGAAUCUCUACUUUUACACUAGAUAUUCAAACAGGAAUAUCUUGAGCUUUUGAUAUCAAAAUCAAGCUAUUAAAAAGUCUAAAUUUAUCUACGCAUCCAGGACUACAACUUUGAUGAAGGAGUCAAAGUGAGAUAAAAUCGUUUCAGAAAACAAAUUCUAGCAUUAAUUUGGUUGAUGAAAAAGGGUCUCCAGAUCUAAUUCAUAAACUAACAAUGCCGAAUACCGCGAUAUGACUGACAGUAUGACCUAAGAACAAAUCAACAAAAUUUGUGACAUAAAUAGUGUUUUUAGUGCAAAACUUGGGUCAAGAUCCUUCUCGUGCCAGAGUUCUCUACUUUCAUGUUAGAUAUUCAAACAAGAAUAUCUUGAGCUUCUAAUAUCAAAAUCAAGCGAUUCAAAAAUCCAAAAUUUAUCUACCCGUCCAGGACUACAACUUUGAUGAAGGAGUCCAACUGAGAUAAAAUCCUUUGAGAACAGAAUUUGGCAGCAAUCUGGUUGAUAAAAAAGGAUCUCCUGAUCUAAUUCAGAAAUUGACAAUGCCGAGAAUCCUGAUAUGACUGAGAGUAUGACCUAAGAACAACUCAACAAAAUUUGUGAUGGAAAUAGAGUUUUUAGUGCAAAACUCGGGUCAGGAUCCUUCUUGCGGAAGAAUUCUCUACUUUCACGUUAGAUAUUCAAACAAGAAUAUCUUAAGCUUCUGAUAUCGAAAUCAACCAAUUCAAAAGCCCAAAUUUAUCUAUGCAUACAGGAAUAUAACUUUCAUGAAGGAGUCGAAGUGAGAUAAAAUCAUUUCAGAGAACAAAAUCUAGCAGUAAUCUGGUUGAUCAAAAAGGGUCUCCUGAUAUAAUUCAGAAACUGACAAUGCCAAGAAUCGUGAUAUGACUGAGAGUAUGAUCUAAGAAUAAAUCAACAAAAUUUGUGAUGGAAAUAGAGUUUUUAGUGCAAAACUCGAGUUAGGAUCCUUCUCGUGGUAGAAUUCUCUACUUUCAUGUUAGAUAAUCAAACAGGAAUAUCUUGAGCUUCUGAUAUCAAAAUCAAGUGAUUCAAAAUCCCAAUUUUAUCUACGUGUCUAGGACUACAACUUUGAUGAAGGAGUCGAACUGAGAUAAAAUCAUUCUAGAGAACAGAAUCUGGCAGCAAUCUGGUUGAUCAAAAAGGGUUUCCUAAUCUAAUUCAGAAACUAACAAUGCUGAGAAUCUCGAUAUGACUGAGAGGAUGACCUAAGAACAACUUAACAAAAUCUGUAACGAAAAUAGAGUUUUUAGUGCAAAACUCGGGUUAGGAUCCUUCUCGCGUCAGAAUUCUCUACUUUCUUGUUAGAUAUUCAAACGUGAAUAUCUAACGCUUCUGAUAUCGAAAUCAAGUGAUUCAAAAAUCUUAAAUUUAUCUACAGAUCCAGGACUACAACUUUGAUGAAAGAGUCGAAGUGAAAUAAAAUCGUUUUAGAGAAGAGAAUCUGGUUGAUCAAAAAGGGUCUCCUGAUCUAAUUCAGAAACUAACAAUGCCGAGAAUCCCGAUAUGACUAAGAGUAUGACCUAAGAACAAAUCAAUAAAAUUUUUGACGGAAAUAGAGUUUUUAGUGCAGAACUCAGGUCAGGAUCCUUAUCGUGGUAGAAUUCUCUACUUUCACGUUAGAUAUUCAAAAAGGAAUAUAUUGAGUUUCUGAUAUCUAAAUCAAAGGAUUCAAAAAUCCCAUUUAUCUAUGUGUCUAGGACUACUAAUAUGAUGAAGGAGUUGAAGUGAGAUAAAAUCAUUUUAGAGAACAGAAUUUGGCAGUAAUCUGGUUGAUAAAAAAGGGUCUCCUAAUCUAAUUUAGAAACUGACAAUGCCGAGAAUUCCAAUAUUACUGAGAGUAUGACCUAAGAAAAAAUCAACAAAAAAUGUUAUGGAAAUAGAGUUUUUAGGGCAAAACUCGGGUCAGGAUCCUUCUCGCGGUAGAAUUCUCUUCUUUCAUAUUAGAUAUUCAAACAAGAAUAUCUUGAGCUUCUAAUAACAAAAUCAAGCAAUUAAAAAUCCCAAAUUUAUCUAUGCAUCAAGGAAUACAACUUUGAUGAAGGAGUCGAAGUGAGAUAAAAUCGUUUUAGAGAAUAGAAUCUGGCAGUAAUCUAGUUGAUAAAAAAUGGUCUCCUGAUGUAAUUCAGAAACUGACAAAGUUGAGAAUCCCAAUGUGACUGAUAGUAUGACCUAAGAACAAAUCAAUAAGAUUUAUUAUGGAAAUAGAGUUUUUAGUGCAAAACUCGAGUCAGGAUCCUUCUCAUGGCAGAAUUCUCUACUUUCACAUUAGAUAUUCAAACGGAAAUAUCUUAAGCUUCUGAUAUCGAAAUCAACCAAUUCAAAAGCCCAAAUUUAUCUAUGCAUACAGGAAUAUAACUUUCAUGAAGGAGUUAAAGUGAGAUAAAAUUGUUUUAGAGAACAAAAUCUGGUAGUAAUCUGGUUGAUCAAAAAGGGUCUCCUGAUCUAAUUCAGAAACUGAAAAUGUUAAGAAUCCCGGUAUGAUUGAGAGUAUGACCUAAAAAAAAUCAACAAAAUUUGUGAUGGAAAUAGUGUUUUUAGUGCAAAACUCGGGCCAGGAUCCUUCUUGCGAUAUAAUUCUCUACUUUCACAUUAGAUAUUCAAAAAGUAAUAUCUUGAGCUUCUAAUAUUGAAAUCAAACGAUUCAAAAAUCCCAAAUUUAUCUAUGCAUCCAGGACUACAACUUUGAUGAAGGAGUCGAAGUGAGAUAAAAUCAUUUUAGAGAACAGAAUUUGGCAAUAAUCUGGUUGAUCAAAAAAGGUUCUUGAUCUGAGAAUGUCGAGCAUCUAAAUUUGACUGAGAGUCUGCCCUAAGAACAGUGAUCCCUAGGACCCAAUAAAGGUGUAGGUUAAUUUUUCAACAUGUCAUGAGUGACAGAAUAUAGCUAGGAUGGUCAGAUAUCGUACGAAACCAAGUCAGAAUCAGAGCCUAAGUUGGAACAAAAAAUCACGACAGCAGCAGAACCAGUUUUGUUUUUGUGCAAAUUAUGAGGGAUUUAUCCAACCUUAAAGACUAGAUAAAGAAAGAAUGAAUUUAGGAUUAUAAAAACUCCUGAUCAAUCUAAGAAAACCUGACGAUUUUGGCACUAUAGAGGAAGGAUAAAAGGAGUAGAAAACAACUCAAAUAGAGUUUCAAAAAAAAAAAAAAAUUCUUUCUCUGCUUUUGUCAAUCUUCUAGUAAACAUGAGCAAAACUCCUAUAUUUAAUUCAAAAGAGGUAUACACCGUCUCUAGCACAUAGGGUCCAAAAAUGAGUAACAACACCUGUUUUGUGGAUGAUUUUUUCAAAUACACUUGGAUUAUACCUUUGAUGGGGAAAUGUCUUAUUUAAGGAAAAUAACAGAUUUAUGGCAUCUUGUUCUUAGAUGGAAAAAUGUUUUGUUUAAGGAGUUGUCACUCAGUAUUAUGGUCAUUAGGAACCCUAACUAGUCAACAUAGAUUAUAUUAUAAGGGAUUGGUAACGUAAAAGGAAAGAUAUUAUUUCCCCAUAAAUGUCUUGCCUGAGGCAGAUUGCAUUGCUAGUUUUGUCUUAAAUUACUAAAAGUUUGUUAGUUUAUGCUACGAUGGUUUGAUUGUAAUAUUCCUGACUUUAGCGUUAAUAAAUAUUCAACUAGGGAUACUUCCAACUCUAGUGUUGGUAAAUAUCACUACCAGAAAAUCAACAAAUACAAACGGAAAUACCGAGGGAAUUACUGUGGGAAAAAAAAAUUAAAACAAAGCAAAAAAAAUGAUGACGUGUCAUUUUUUACCAACAGAAUUACUGGUUGAAUUAUUCGUAAACUGUUCAUCAUGUCAAUUACAAAGGGAAUUACUGACGGACAAUUCCGUUGAUAUUUUCCAGAGAGCUCCAGAACUGUUCAUUUUUCAAUUGCACUGUUAAUUGUUUUACUUUACGGACAAAAUCACCGACGGAUUGAAAAUUCGUUGGUGUGUUUUGGCUGUUUUCUGAAAAAAUUCAAUUGAUUUAAAAUUUUCAUUUAAAUAUUACAGACGGAAUCACCGACAGAUUGAAAAAUCAUCAGUAAUUUUUGGCGGUUUCUGAAAAUUUUUUAUGAAAUUAAAAAUUUAAAUUAAAUAGUACCGACGAAAUUAUCGACAGAAUAAUUAAAAAAUAUUAAUAUUCAAUUAUCCGUCGGUAAAUCCGUCAGUAACGCUCCCCAAUAAAAAACUUGAAUCCGCUUAUUUCACAAGAGAUAGACUCAUUAUUUCUUUUCAUUCUUCUACUACUUCUACUUCUUUUUCUUCUUCUUUUUCUUCUUCUUCUUCACUAUAUGUAAAAAACAUCAAUAUCUAUUUCUUUCUCUUCUUUUCUCUCCUCAUCUCCUUCUCUUUUCCUCCAUGCUUGGGUAUGUCUUCUUCUUCUUUCUUCUUUUAUCCUCUUAGUUUUUUUUUAAUUAAUAUGCUUUACGAAUUUUUUUUUCCUUAGCUUCACUUGCAAGUAUAUUAAGGUAAGAUUUUUCUUUUUUCUUAUUUUUUCAUGAUUUUUUUCACUAUAUUUUUUUUAUUUAAUUUUAAUUGAUUUUGUUCAUAAUAAUUGUAUAAAUGUUGUUGUGAGAUUUGUUUUUCAUAUAAAUCAAUUUUUAGUUGAUUUAUUUAUAGGAUUUUUAAAUUUUUAGCUAUUGCAACUUCAUUUUUUUCAUAUGAAUUUUUUUAGUUGAAUUAAGUUUUUUGUUUUAUUUAUUUGUUGCAAAUUUGUUUGAGUUGAUUAUCUUAUUCUUUUUUCCAAGCAUUUUGAGUAUAUAUUAUACAAUGUUGAUUUAUGUUAAUUUAAUUAUUUUAUAAAAUGAAUUUUUUUAAAAAAUGUUUUUAAAUAAUUACCGACGGAAAUUUCCGUCGAUAAAUCCGUAGGUAAUAAAAACAAAUUAGCGACGCGUCUGUUUCGCCAAUAAAUCCGGCGAUAAUAUCAUUACCGAUGAACAAAAAAUUAUCAACGAAAGAUUCACCGAUGGAAAUUCUUCGUCGGUGAUUUCAUCGGUAAAUUAAUUACCGAUGGAAUAUGUGUCUUACGCCGACGGAAAAAUUCCGUCGGUAAAACUAUUAAAUCUUGUAGUGUAUGAUGUAUGAUAUUCCUAACUCUAGCGUCAAUGAAUAAACCAAUAAAUUAAAUUUAAAUCAAUGCAUGCAUAUUUUUGUUUAUUUAUUUUUCUCUAAAAAUAAAAAUAAAACAUAUCGUACACUAGAUUUACAUUUCAUAAUAAAAAUCCAUAGAUUAAUUAUACAGUGAAAUACCUAAAAAAAUAUGAUGGACCUAAAAAUAAAUUCAAAAAGGUGCUUGUUUGACCACAUAUCAAAACAAAAAGGAAUACAAUAAAAGGGAUUGGCAUAAAGGUGUGUUUUGUCAAACACACUUUUGGCCAAAAUAGAUUGGCCGGAUGGUCACUGUGCAUGCAUGCCUGGAUUAUUCACGCAUGCUUUGCAUACAAUAUUUAUAUUUCUAAGGGGAGGGAAAACAAAAGCUUACUUGUGUAGUUGGGAAUGAAACCGACAAUGAUGGUGUAUCGGACGAUGCUCUUUCUGUUCCUCUUUUCGUUUGUUUUACCUUUGGUUGUUCUUUUCUUCAACUUUGUUUUCUCUAUUCGUAUUCUCUGGUUCCCUCCCUUUUUAUUUUUGUCCUUGUUUUUGUUUGUUUGCUUCUCUCUCUCUCUUUACUAGUCAUGUGUCGCUGGCAUUGAGAAGGACUCUGCUUUGAAAGGUGGAUGGCCAAAUCACGACUGAGGAUAGAGUUGCUGUUGAGGUUGUGGCUUUCGGUGAUGGCUGUCAUGAUGUUGUUGCACUGUUUUCUUGAGUUUGCUCAUGGUUGCUGGAGUUUUGAAGGAGAUUCUACGGUCUUUCUCCUCUGUUUCACUUUGCCUCCUGGUUUCCUCUCCCUACUAUUUUGUUUUAUUGUCUUUCUCUUUAUGAGUUUUUUUUAGCCUGUCUCUAUACCUCUCUUUUUUUAGUUCGCCUUUCUCUGGCCUUCUAUAAGGCCAGAGAGAGUAAAUGAAGUCGUUAACAAUCCUGCUCAUGGAGGACUGUUAAUCGAUUUGGAAACAGAAUCAUGGGUAGGAGACGUGGUCCGGGUUUAGUGUUAUUUCUUCCUGUAAAUGCAAUACCAGAAGUUCUCUUAAAACCAACGGAAUUACCAAUAAAAUAAUUUUGUCGAUUAUUUGCGGUGAUAAUUAUCGACAAACACUAUUCCAUCUGUAAUUUAGACGGUAUAUACUGACGAAAUACUGUGGUUUGUAUAUACCGACAGAAUUAUAAACAGAAUAUUCAGAAAUAAUAAAAAAAAAAAGCAGUUUGCUAAUGUGGAACUUUUUGUGGGCAAUUUUACUGAUGGAAGCACCGAGGGAUUCAAACCGGGAUCUCUGUAUAGUGACGUGACCAAUUCAUUGUCAGACUUGCCGACAGAAUCACCGACAGAGGUAUUUUGUUGGUGAUUCCGUCAGCAAAAGUUAAUACAUCACCACUCUGCCGACCCUCUCCUCCUUAUUUCUCCUUCUUCUCCCCAUCCCAACUCUACCCUCCCAAACUCCAAACAACCAGCCCAAAAAAAAAAAUCUCCCUAUUCUCAGCACAAGUCAUAUUUCUUUAAGUUUUGUGAUCACAACAUUCGUGCUCUAGUUUAUUGUGGAUUUUAUUAUUUUUUGUAAGUAAAUCUAUCUUUUUUAAUUUUAACAUUUAAAUGUCAAUUUUAUUUAUCUUUUAGUAUAUGUAUUUUGUUAAAGUACGUACAUAUUUUAUUGUUAUUUUUCAAACAAACUUAUAGUAUAUAAAUGUAUAAUUUUGUACUUGUUAUGGUUUGUUUUAGAUUUGGUAAAAUUGUAUUUCAUUGUAAAUUGUUGAAACUUUGUUGAAUUACCGAAUUACAUGUGUUGUGGUGAAAUAAUUAAUAGCUUGUUUAACAGGUCCGUUUUAAUUUUUAUCAAUGCUAUUGCGGAGUUGUAAUUUCCAUAAAUUUACAAGUAUAAAUUUAUAUGGAUGUUGAUAAUUGAUAAUGAAUAUUUAUGAGAAGUUGUAAUUAUCUUGUUGGUCAAAUUUAUUUACCUAACAUAGUUAAUUAAUACAUGUUGUCAUCAUAAUUUUAUAGAGAUUUGAUAAAAGUCAUGGAUGAUCAUUCAUGGAUGUAUCGAGAUUCACCUCAAGGAUUGCAGAGGAUGAAUUAUUGUAACAGAGUUCAGUAAUUUAUUAAUGUCGCAACAUCUAUUCCUAGAAAUUUUACUGAAAGCAAUAUUAGGUAUCCUGUAGGAAAUGUGAAAAUAAAAAGUAUAUGCAUUCAAAUGUUGUAAUAAUGCAUCUUCUACACAAAGGGUUUAUAGAAAAUUACUUGUGUCGGUAUGCACACGGAGAAGUAUUUGUUCGUAAUAAGAGCAUGGAAGAAAGGGUGGUUGGGUCAACUUCUAGUACUAACAACGUGUAUAGAGUUGCAAAUGACAAAAGUAAUUCUUAUAGGAAUAUGAUUAUGGAUGCAAUGAGAAUGAAUCAAAGUAAUGUCAGUCAAUGUCCAAUAGUAGAAGAAUAACCUAAUGUAGAUACAAUUAGGUUUUUGAUCUAUUGAAAGAUUAUAACGAAUCAUUAUGGGAUAACUAUACAAACUAUAGUAGUUUGGUUUAGAGAAGGCUAUUAAAGCUGUGUUUUUCAGCCAAGGUAAGGAUGGUUUUUGCAUUGUGAGGGGGAGCUACUCACUGUGGUCUAUUAAAGCUGUGUUUUUCAGCCCAGGUGAGGGUGGUUUUUGCAUGGUGAGGGGGAGCUACUCACUGUGGUUAUGAGCUGUGGUGAAGAGGCUGUUACUGGUGAAGAUGAUAGCAUUUUUUUUAUAUGGCUGACGACUCCUUUUGUCAAGAUAAAGUUAGGUUUUUUGCAUUUGUACGAGGGUGAGUGAGCUAGAGAAAAAAAUGUGGAAAAUAGUUUUUGGAUUUUGUUUUUGUCUCCCCUCCCUUUUCUAGUGUGAGAUAACCAAAUGAUUUUUUUUUUCUUUCAAUUACUUGGUUACCAAACAAUUUAAAUUUUUUAAUCCUUCAAUUUCUUCUUUUUUUAUUUUUGGUCCCUUUUUCUAUUUAUUAUAUAUUUUAUUCUUUUUAUUUUUUUUGUAUUUUGAUUUUUUUAAUAAAGCAGCAUCAAUGUCAACUUAAUGAGAAGAAUUAAUUAGUUAUUUUGAAAUGUAUACAUUAACAGUAGAAUACGUUGAAAAUAAAUUUUUAAAUUCUGAAUUUUUUUGAAAAGAUGCGGAUGUCACAAAUACAGCAAGAAUAAUUUUUUAAAAAAUAUAUAUUUAAAAAAACAAGAGACAAAAAAUAAACUAUAAUCAUAAUAUUAAUUUCAAAUAUUUCUAGUAACUCUGUUUAUAAUAGCAGCUGCAAAUAACUUGUGAGAAAGUGCAAAGAGUUUCUUAGACCCUUAUCAGCUGGUUCGGUGAAGAGGGUAUUGCUGAUUGUUCUGCAAAUAACAGGAGUCAGUUUCAUAAUUGAAAUGCUUACCAUUAGUGAAAAUGAAACCAAGAGUGUGCUCCCUAUUUACUAACUAUAGAGUAAAGUUGGGCAUCUUUGUUUCUCUACCUCACAAACUCGAGGCCAUAAUCAUAGUUGCUCGACAGCUAUGGUCUUCUCUAUAGUAUACAAUCUUCUCGCUUGCUUCCCUAUUGAUUUUUGUGGUUCAAAAAUAUUUAAAAAAAAAAUUAAAUUUUUUUUAUUUUUUAUUUACUUCAAAUUAAUAUAUUUUUAAUGUUUUUAGAUUAUUUUAAUAUGCUAAUAUUAAAAAUAAUUUUUAAAAAAUAAAAAAAUAUAUUAUUUUGAUAUAUUUCUAAAUAAAAAAUAUUUUAAAAAAUAAUUGCAAUUAUACUUUCAAAUAGGUGUUUGAUAGCCUGUGUUGUAUUAUGUUGAUUGUGAUUCUAAGAAACUUCAACAAUGAAGUUAUGCUUCCAAAAGUCUUGAAAGUUCAUUUCGAUUCUAUGAUCACAGUUUUCAGUAAUACGAUGUAGCUGUCACUUCACUUUUGUGAUACUAAGAAUGUGUUUGGUAUUGCGGUAGCUGUUGUGGUUGUGGUUUAAAAAAAGUUGUUUUAUAAAAAGUAUUUUUAGUUGAGGUUGGUUUGAAAAAAUAGAUGUUUGGUUAAAACUGUGGUUAAAAUUGAGGUUGAAGAAAAAGUAAUUUUAAUGUGUUUGGUUAAGAAUGCUUUUGAAAUUGAGGUUAUAAAAUAAUUUUAAAAAUAUAUAUAUUAAUAUUGAUGGUUUUUAAUUUAAAUUUUAUGGAUUUAACUAUUGCUAUUACAUCAUGAAAUAAAUCACACUUAAAAAAUUACUUUAACAAAAUUAGAUAAAAUAUUAUCAAGAAUAAAAUUAAGAUUACACUACGAGUAAAUUUAAUUCACCUUAAACUAAUUUAAAAAAAAAUAAAAAAUAAAAAUUAUUGUUCACGUGAAUAGUACUAGUGAAAUCAAUUAACUACAUUGGUGUAAAAAAAAAAGAAUUGUUCAGUGCAUGCCUCCACUGUUUUUUUUUUAAAAAAAAAAACUGUUUGGUGAACAGUAGAGCUGCCAUGCAAAAAGCAGCAAUUUGCUGCUUUUCAUUUUCAUGGGGCGAGAACACAAUAAAUAGAGGGAUCCAUGCAUAGUAAACAAUUUUUUUUAUUUAACCAAAUACUGAGGUAGUGCGUUUGUGAAGAAAUGCAACUUCUACCUCGUAGCCAAACGGGCUGUAAAACGUCCUGUUUUUUAUGACUGCACUUAAUUUGCAUGCUUUUCUGAAUCUUCUUUGUUCUACUUCUCCUGGGAUUCUUUUCUUGACUUUGUUAUGAACUAGUUGCCGACUCACGGGCUGCAAGUCAUAUCCUCAAGUUAUUUGUCUGGUUCUUGAUUCGAGAUUGUAUUUGCUCUCAUAUUGAACUUGAGACAUAUUUGUCUGUUUCAUUUCCUAUAUUUUGAAAUUCCAUAUUCCAUAUUAGCCUCAAAAUCAAAUUGAUGUCCUACUUGUUAUUUAGAAGUUAGAUUAUCUUCUUCUUCUUUUUUGCAGGAAAUUAUUGGGAGAGUCCCUCAAGGGUAUUAAGGGAGCCUUUGACAUUUAAGUUGGGAUCUCUUAUGUAACUUUUGCUGCCUAUCAUUUCUUUCUCUCCGUAAAAACAAAAUGUUCAAAAAUUUACUCCAUUUUUCCAUUCAAAAGCACCCAAAAGAAAGAAAAGUAGAUAUUGAUUGUUUUCUCUAGAGAAAAUCCAUGUGAAUACUUGUGUUCAUGCGACAAUACACCAUCUUCCUCUUCUUCAAUCCUUUAAAUGGUGUUGUCAAGGGCGGAGCCAAGAAUUUUUUUUGUCUUAGGCUUCACAAUAAAAUCUUAAUUUAAAUAUAUUAUUCAAAAUAUUAAAAAAUAAUUUGAAACUACAUAAAAUUAAAGUGAAAGUAAAAAUAACCUCAUUAUUAAAAUUAAACCCUUUUAUAUUUUAUGAAAUAUAAUUUAUCUAUAAAAUCUGAUUCAAUAUUUUCAGCAAGCUCUCGUUCAUCAUAAAAUAUAUUAACUCUUUUAUUUUAUUGUGAAACACAUUUUUAACAUGCUUCAUAUAUGAAAAUUAUCACUCUUUGAUGGUAGUAAGAACAUGCAAAGUCAAAAUAAAACGAAUCGACCUGUUAAUUAAUCAAAUUAUUGUAUUGCGACUUAUUUGUUACGAUUAAUCCCUUACAUAAUUUGAAAAUAGUAGACAUGUUUUGAAAGCUCUCAUGAUGAAUUAUAUCAUUUUGAUAAUACUCUAGCUAAGAUCUCAAAUAAUGCAUCUUUUAUUUAUUGAAAUCUUCAAAAUAAAAAUUAUCAACAAGCUUGCAAAUAGAUUUAAUUUUAAUUAUUUAAAGUUGUCUUUAAAUUCUAAAGCAAAGUUAAGUAUAAAAAGUUUCAUUUUCCAUCAUUAAAUCUAGAAUCAAACUCUUUUAAUUAAAAAUCUAUUGCCGAGUUAAAUAUAUUAUAAUGAUAGUUUUAGUAAACUGUCAUUAAUCCUUGCUACUGACAUGAACAACCUAUACCCUUUUAUAUAAAGUAUUUAUAUGAGGUAUGCCAAUUUUUUAUUGUAUGUAAACAAAUUGCACAUAUGCAAGGAGAAUAUCAAAUCCAACAUCUUUUAAAGUUUAAAACAAUGUUUUAGUAGUUGAAAUAAGAUUAAGUUGAAUUUAUGUGACGGAUAGUACCAUACAAUAAAUGAAAGAAAGGAAAGGUGUGUUGCUUUUAUCAAAUUGUUGAGUUGAAUAUGUAUGGAAACAAGAAAAGUAAUCUAGCACAAGGAAGGAUACAAUUUUCACUUUGGCUCUCUUAACUUAAAAGGAUAGAGAUUUUAAUUUUUUUAAAAAGUGGCUAAUUUAUAGACAUAGCAUGUUUUUCUUGAGCUAAUUUAGUUAAUUGUAAAUUAGAUUAAUUUAAUGUUAGUAUAAAAAAUUAUUGAUAAAAUAUUAACCUGGGCUAUAGCCAGCCAAGUCUUUAAUAUAGAUCCGCUCUUGGGUGUUGCCAAAACAUAUUCUAGGCUACUUCUGCAAUGCAAUGGAUAAACCCAUCACAAUUCCCUUAACAUUCAAGUGUUGAUAUUCUUGGCUUUCUCUGUUAUCAAUAGCUUGACAUUCAUGGGGAAGCAUGGUAAGAUUUAAGAUUAAAUUCAGUUUCUUUAAGAGCAAAAAAGAAAAGGACUAAAGACACUUUUGAAAAAAUAACAAUUAAACUAUUGAUAACAGAGAAAGCCAAGAAUAUUAAACAUAUUAAUAGUUUAAUUGUUAUUUUUUUCAAAAAGUGCAUUAAAGAGAAUGCUCUUACUGCAACCAAAGAACUAAAGACAAUCUUGAUAUUUAAAAAAAUAUGACAAAAGUUAUAAAAUGAUAAAACUAAAUUAUGAUCUUUCUAAAAAGACAACAAAAUUUGACAAAAGGUUACACUUGUAACUUUCCAUUGUUUUAUGCAUUGAACUCUUUUCCGAUUUUUUUUCUUUCGCUUACCUUAUAUAAUGUAAAAUAUUUUGAUAUUAAAUUAAUAAUCAAUUUAAUAAUAAAUAUUUUUAGCUUAUUGUUAAAACAAAAUUGAGAGAUGAAUGCUCAAAUUUGACAUAAAGAAACAGAACCCUUUUCUAUAAAAUAAAAAUGUGCAAAAUUAUAAUUUAGUCCUUUAAAUUUAAAAUUUUUAUUAUUUGAUCCCUAUUAAUUUAGUGCAUUAUAUUCUAGUUCUAAAUUUUAUUUUUAUCGCACUUAUCUUUAGAGGUUGAGAGUGAAGAAAGAAAGUCAUCAAAAAAUUAAAAAAAAAAAAAGAAAGAAAGAAAAAUCUCAAUGGAUUGUGGUAAUUUAAAUAUUUAUGAAUAUAAUAUUUUUUUAUUAUUUUUAUUGUGUCAAGUUUUAUAUUAUUUUCUCUAGUUAAUUGUUUUUUAUUUUUUAUACAAUCACGUUAAAAUAAUUAAAACAUUAUAUUUUUUACUUUAUAAAUUUUUACAAGUCAUGAUAAGUUUUCUUUUUAGGAUAAUGGUGCUCUUGAUAAAUAAAAACGUUAUCUCUAAAAUUAAAAAAAUAAUAAUGAAUAUCAAAAGUGAAGUCUUGGUUAAAGAAAUGAAGUUUAAUCCAAGGAAAUGGUUUUUUUUUCCUUACUAAAUUUAAAUCUUUUGAGUUUUGAUAGAUAUGUAUUUUAAUUAUUUUUAGUUUUUUUAAAAUAAUCAUGAUUUAGAAAAACUCUCAAUGUUUUUUCAAAAUAAUAAAAUCAUAAAUAAUAAAAAUAAAUUUUGGAAGAAAAAAAUACAUUUUUUUCUUCAAUGAAAGAAUAUCCAACAAAAAAACAUCGGCAUGUGCAUGUUUUGCUUUUUAUAAAGAAGAUUUAAUUUUUUUAUUUUAGUUUUUAAUUAGCUGUAACAACUAUUUUCUUAUAAUUUAUUAGUUGAUAUAGUUCUUAAUUCAUAAGUACGUAUCCACAAUAAAGCGUAGGUCCACUUGCUUGUUUUUUUUCUGAAGUUUAUUUUAUUCGUAAUUUGUCUAUUUAUUUUGUUCCAGAUGCUUUGAGUUGCAUGCUGGCCUGUGGACCAUGCCUUAACCUUGUGGGGCCAUGUCAGAUAAAUAAUGUCUUGUGAUAUUUAAGAUAGGGGUACACUAAUUAUUUUUUAUUUGGAUCGCUAUCCCUUCCUUUCCUAAAAGCGCUCUUCCUGGCACCUUCGUAUCCAAUUAAUCACCUCCUUUUUUUAACCAGAGAAGGCGUUGUAAUAACUUGAUAUUAAAAAAUUUAUUUAUUUUAUGAUUUUUUAUUUAAUUUAUGAUUUUUUAUUUAAGUUCCAUGUUGCUCUUAUAAUAAUUAUUGAAAAUUUAUAUGAUCAUUAACUUCAAAAUUUAUAAGAUUAAUUGAUGUAUAUACAAGUUUAUCCAAAUAUUUAUAUUAAUAAAAAUAAUAAAAAAAAAUUACCUUUUUUUUGGUCAUCAACAAGAAUGGAUGAGUAAAGAGACCAAAUUGUGUUAAUAGUAAAAAUCUUAAAAGUAGAAAUUAAUUUGUUUUUAUGUUUAAAAAUGUUUUUAAAAAAAUUUAAAUUUAAAUUUUUUUAAAAUUAAUAUUUUUUUAUUUUUUACAAAAUUAUUUUAAUUUGCUGAUUUUAAAAUUAAUUUUUAAAAAAUAAAAAAUAUAUUAUUUUAAUAUAUUUUUAAAUAAAAAAUAUUUUAAAAAAUAACCGUAAUUAAACUAAAAAUAAAAAAGUAAGAAGAUAGAUUUGUCGGUAACAAUAAAAUAUGUUCUCUCGAUGAAUGAUCUUGUAAUGAAAACAUAAGUUGAAUUAAAUAAAUAAUAAAGUGAAGCCUGAUAUGACAUGAUCAUGACUUUAAAAAUAAUAGGGUGAUUGUUUUGUAAAAUAUUUUUUUAUUUAAAAAUAUAUUAAAUAUAUUUUUUAUUUUUUAAAUAUUAAUACAUUAAAAUAUAUAAAAAAUUUAAAUAAAAAAUUUAAAUAUUAUCCAACUUCUAUUUAAAAAACAAUAAUUGCUUUUUGAAAUGGGAAAGCAAAUAAAAGUCGUUGAAAGCAAUACAUCUAAACAAAUUACAAUCAUGCAGUGCGGGAACUUAAAAUAAAAAUAAUAUAUCUUUUGCGGCAUGAUUGCCCCCACUGACUGCACUACACUUCUUAGUGGUUAAUCGGUCACGUCCAGAACAACUACUGUAACACAUAUAUGCAAAGCACCUGGCAUAAUUCAAUGAUGAUUACUUGCAAGCCACCUAACAUAAUAAAAGGCCGACAUUCAAAAAAAAAGAAAAAAGGCCGACAUUACGAUUGAAAAAUAUUUGUUUUUAAAAAAAAAAUUUAAUUUUUUAAUUUAAUAUGAUUGUGAUAUUUUUAGAUUAUUUUGAUGUAUUAAUAUUAAAAAUAAUUUUUAAAAAAUAAAAAUAAAUAUUAUUUUAAUAUGUUUUAAAAUAAAAAAUAUUUUUAAAAACAAUCGCUGCCAUACUUUCAAAUAAUAUAAUUGAAUCAAAUAAAAUGUAAUUGAAUUUAAUUUAUAAAUAGAUUUAAAUUUAAUAUCUUCUUAUAAAUUUUAUAUUUAAAAUAAAAUGUUAAAUCAUGUAAUUAAAUUUAAUUAUACUAUUUUUAAGUUAGCAAUAAUGAUUAUUUUAUCCUUAAUUUAAAAAUUAUAUUUUUGUUAUAUAAAACAUUUCUUAGUUCGAAUAAUUCAUAAAAAUACCAUGUUAAAUCAUGAAUGAUCAUCUCGUCCAGAAGACCAUCGUUAACUUUUUUCAACUCUUCCAAAGAAUUAAUUAAAUGACCAUAACAAGAAGGAAAAUCUUGAAAACAGGGACAAAGAACAAAAAUAAUCCGUUAAAAUCAAAUCAGAGGCUACCUUUCGGCUUUCGCCCUGUGGAAAACAAUAAUAGGGUUUGUCUUGUUGUGCUGUUAAGGAUAUUUUUUAAAUAUUGUUUUUAUUGUCAAUUUCAGAAGGAGUUAUCAUAGCAAUUUAUAGGUUAUCAACUCUUGAAUUUCAUUUCAAAUUCAAAUUCAUACUUUAACAAAUAUUCAAAAUAUAAAGAUUGAUUUAAUCUUGUGAAUUGAAUUCAAUUCAUAAGAUUCCAAACACUCGGUAAAAUAAAAUAAAAAAUUAAAUUUGAGAUGAAAACUCGUGGACUAUACAUGUAUCGCAUCAUUAUAAUUACUACAUUGAUUUUUUUUUUUUUAAUUCUUUACUACUUUUAUAAUCACUUGUUUGUUAUUAUUGUAAGUUGUGUUGAAUAAAUAUUGAACUUGAUAAUUUAUUUUGAUUUAUUUUUUAUCAUAUUAUUACGCUAUCAAAAAAUAAAUUUUGAUAUUGGGUUGAUACUUGAUUUUACAAAAAAAAAAAUAUUUUUAUUUACAAAAACUUAAAAAUAAAGGGAACAAAAUACAAAGUGAGGGGAAAAUGGAACCUUGUUUUAACCUAAAACUAAUCAUUCAGUUUCUUUUGACAAAAAAGUACCUUAUAUUUUUCUCAAUUACCAUUAUGGACAUUUAGUUUAAAAUGUAUGAGUUUUAGUCUCAAACUUUAUUUUGUUCACAUUUAAGUACUUAAAGAAAGUCAUCGAAAAAUAAUAUAGGGGCGGGGAGAGAGAGAGAGAGAGAGAGAGAGAUAGAGAGAGAGAGAGAGAGAGAGAGAUAGAGAGAGAGAGAGAGAGAGAGAGAGAGAGUCAUUGGUUGUCUACAUUUCAACAAUAAAAAAAAUUAUUUUUUGGUGUCAAUGAGUUCCAUUCGACAAUGAAGUUCUAUUGAAGUGUUUUUUACCUAUAAUCUUGUCGAAAACAAUUGACCAAGGUUGAGAAAUAUAUUUAUUUCCAACUUAAUUUUAUAUUUUUUGAUUUAUUUAGGAUUUUUUGUUAAGGAAUUGGUUUAUUGGCAUUCUAAGAGUGCUUUUUUAGUAUUUCAGGUGAAAAUAGGUUCAAAAUAAGAUUUUCAUGUCCUAAAACUCGGACUCUAAUUUUCUAGUGACCUUCAAUAACCAAAAAAUAUUGUAGAUGAAGAUAGGUUGUCCACCACAAUUGAUGACCUAUCAAAUUGUGUGUGUGUGUGUCUAAAAAUGCAGAUGAUACAUCAUCCAUUCCAAUUUAAAAAAAAUAGCUCAAGCGCGUGGGGCUGAGUUUACAGGUUUAGACGUGCUUGGCCUUUUAGGUAACUAGCAUUGCUUCUUGGGUCAAUUUAAUGAAUAAUGGGUUCAUUUUGGAAAUGUUUUUUUUAUUUUAGUGUUUCAGCCUCUUUUUAUCGUAUUCUCUUAGAACCAAUUUAACAAGUUAAGUUUUCAAUGUGAGAUAGAAAGAGAAAAUGAUGAGAAUGUAAAACAGUGCUUUGUUUUUUUUUUUUUAAUUAAUUGUAUUCUUUAAUAUUGGGUUUACUAGGGAUUAGAUUUUAUAGUUUAUUUCAAUUUGUUUUUCAUAGGGUUGUCUAAGUCUCAUGAUCCAGGUUAUGGAUUUAGUGAUUUAAAACAACUUGACUCGAUUUUUUUUUUAAUUUUAUCCUUUAAUAAUUGGUUGUUUGGGAAUUGAUCUUUAAAAUCUAUUUUGACUUACUUUCUAUGAGGUUAAUUCGGUCUCAUGACCUGAGUUGUGAGUUUGGUGGAUUAACUUAAGUUAUUUUUUUCUGUCCAUUUUUAUAAUUGAUUUUUUUUUUAAUUUCAUCCUUCUAUAUUAGGUUGAUUAAGAAUUCAGAUUUAUAAUUUAUUUUAUUUGUUUUUAUAAGGUUAUAUCGGUCUCAUGAUCCAAAUCAUGAAUUUGGUGAGUUAACUCAGGAUGACCUGAAUUGAUAUUAUAUGUUGUCAUCUCAAUAUUGUUUUUUUUUAUAAAAAAAAUAUAUUGUCUUGAAUUUAUUUUUAGUCAAAAUAUAUUUUCAUCGGUUGUUUGACAUACCUUUAUACAUGUUAGGUCGAUCUGGUUACAUUAAAUCAACCCUUACAUGAUUUAAAAUUAAUACAUGAUAUAGUUCAUGCCCAAAACACAUUGAAUGGACUGGGAUGAUUAUACUUCGACAGUUUGGUUAAUUCACCUUAAAGUUCACAGUUUGAUUGACUCAAUUUGAAUUGACAGGUUCUGAGAAGUAUUAUAUUUUCAAGAAUUUUAUAUUUUUAGUGUAAGUAAUUUGUUUUUAUCAAAUUAGAGAUGUAAAGUUAGUUUUGACAUGUUAAAACUAACAUGGAGAUGCUCCUAACAUUGAAACAAGAAAAAAAUAUCAAGAAACAUAUAUUAAAAAAAUACCAAGAAACAUAUACUUCAUUGGAAUUGCUAAAGAAAUAGAAAAAAAAAACAAUGAAUAAGAAAAGAAUUCCAUCGGCAAUGUUUUAGAAAGUUAAAACGUUAUUAUUUACUAAUGAAAUUGCCGAUGAAAUUAUUCUGUCAGCAAAUGUAAAUAAGUUCUAAUUGACAACCCCCCCUAUUCUUCUUCCUGUGCAAAGAAAAGUAUCAUCAACCAUCUAUUAUCUUAUAAAUCCAGCCACCCUAACCUUUUAACAUCGAUUUACAUCUAUAAUUAAUGUUAGCAUUCGUCAUGAAAUAUUUUGUGAAACUUCAAUAUACAAAGUAAACAAACCAACCCAUUUUUUUUAAAUCCAUUUAUGUUUUAGAUUAAUUUAUUAAAACAAUUUAUAGUAUUUGUAGUUUUUAGUACAUUUAAGUGUUUUAUAGUUUUUUCCUAAAGAAAUUUAUUGUGUUAAUAUUUGUAUGUUACAGUUCGUUUAAUGAAGAAAUUGAAGAAAUAAAAUUGAGUUUGAUUUUAUAUUUUAGGUGUGUUAUAAUUGAAGAAAUGAUGGUUAUUUUAAUGAGUACCAAUCAUAUUUUGUAGAUUUUAUUAUUAAGUUGGAAAUUAGGGGAAAUUGAUUUUUUUUUUUUGUGGAAUUGAUAAAGUCAAUAUUAUUAUAUAUAGGUUUCAUAAGAAAUGCAUGAUCAUUUUUAGAUGUAUCAAGAUUCACCUAAAAAAUUAUCUUCAAAAGGUUGAGGGUUUUAUUAUUUUUGUAAUUUUUAAAUUGAAGAAUAUUAGUACGGAAAAUUAGAUGUUCAUAUGUGAAGUAUAAGAAUAAAAAAUUUCACCAUAAAGAUAUUAUAAUGACGCUUCUACUUAAAAAGGUUUCGUUGAGAAAUACUUAUGUUGAUUUGCACACGGAGAACCUUAUGCUCCUUACGAAACCAUGUUAGAAAUCAUGGUUGGCUUAGCUUCUAGUUCUAACAAUAUAAAUGGGUUGUGGGGAAUAAUAGUACUCAUUAGAGAAGUAUGGUGAUGAAUACAAUAAGAAUAAUUCAUAAUUAUUCAUGUAAAAGUUCAAGUAAUAUCCUUUUAGAUGAAAAAUCAAAUGUAGAUGUAACUAAGUUUUUUAAACUUUUACAAGAUUUUGAUAAAUUAUUAUGGGAUAAGUGCACAGCUUACAAUUUGGUUUGUGAUCUUGAUUUUAUUUUUUUUUUGCUUUGCUUUGGUUUUUUUGCUUUGCUUUGGUUUUGUUUGUGAUCAUGAUUUUGUUUGGUUUGGUUUGUGAUUUAAAGAGAGAGUUUUGAAUCUAUAUACAUAACAGAUGUUGUUUUUUGUGUUUUGUGUGUAGACCAUGUUACUUUUGAUUUUUUUAUAUAUAGUUAUGAGUUUAUUAUUUUUAAAUUAAGAUAGCUACUAUUAUUGCUAGUUCGACCAGUAAUAGUAUUGGUGAUGUUAAUGCUCAUGUUAUUAAUUUUAGGUAUCGAUCAUGAAAAGGUGGAAUCCAUUUUAUGUAAGUUAUUUAUUUUGUUUAGGUUAUUUUAAUAUUUACAUUAAAUGAAAAUGGUUGAUUGUGUGUGAAUUUGUUUUUAGUUUCUAUCAAUAUUUCCUAGAUAUAUGCAUCCUAUAUUGUGUUAUUUCCUAUAAUAUGCUCUCUCAAGUUGAGAGUGAAGGAUGAACCUGAAACUUGAAUUGAAAAGUAGUAGAAGAAGCAGUAAGAAGUGUCUUAGUAAAAACAUCAAGUUAAUUCUAAAAAGAGAUAAAACAAAUCUAAAUAUCAUUAUUGGCAACCCUGUCAUAUAUAAAAUGAUAAUUAACUUCAACAUGUUUAGUACGAACAAAGAUCUUAAAAAGAUUUAUGAAGUUAUAACACAUGUCAGAUAUGGAGAAUAGUCAACAGCCAAGGUAGAGUGAGGAGCUGCAACACCGGUUAGAUUUGGGGAAGAGUCGACAACCAAGGUAAGAGUCUAUUAGGGAGAGGGAAAGAGAAUUUUAAUGUGUUAAGGCUUUAAUACCAAGUUGAAGAGAAAUAAGAGGCCUAACCUAGAAGUUAACCAUUCUUUUUUAAUUAUAUGUAGGGAAAUAUACAAUAGUUAAUGUAGAGAUUACAACACAAGAUUAAGCCUAUCAAUAUUGCAUAGAUACAUACAUCUUAUAUUGUGUAAUUUCCUAUAAUAAAAACGAAAAAAAAAUUGGUUAAUUUAAUUUUUUUUCUCAAUUUGGUUUUUUUUAGUUUUUUUGGUUUAAUUAGGAUUUUAGUUUUUUUGCUCAAGAUAUCUUCAGGUAAUCUUCACUUAAACCUUAAGUACAUUUCUAGAUUGCCUAACGAGAUUCUUAAGGAAUCCUAAUUUUUAAAAAAUUAUCAUUUUUGUUGUGUUUAUGUGUACCGGGAAACCCAACAUUAAUAACUAUUCAAUUUAGUCAUAAAAUUUAUCAUAUCCAUGCCCAAAAAGGCCCAAUCAGGGAGAGAAGAAUUCAAGGUUAGCCAACUGGAUUAUCACAUUAUGAUCAUGUCCAUAAUUCAGGUCAUAAAAUUGACAGUUAAGUAGAUUGAUCGAUGGUGAUUCAAUAUAUCAUCGUCUCAAUAUAAAAAAUAAAAAAUAAACAGGAUGUCAUCUUAAAAUUAUUUUUACACUAACCCAAAUUUCUAUCGGUCAUCUAGGUUAUUUUUACACCCAACAAAUUGAUUAUGUCACAUCCUGGAAACUCUCAUAUGAUUUAAUUUGAAGCUCAUGCUAAACAAAGAAUCAAGUUAGAAGGUUUUAAAUUGACAUGUUGAAUUAGAUUUCAUGACAAUGUCAAAGAGUUCCUCAUAUCCAGCCCAUUUUUAUAUAUUAAAAAACACUACUAUAUUUUUUAAAAAAAACAAUUUUCUCUUCAUUCAAUUUAAUCCUUAUUCUAUAAUAACUUUUCAAUCAUGUCUUAAAUUUCAUCAUACUCGAGCUCAAGUCCUCUUUUUUCAAUUCUCUAAUAACUUUUCAAUGUAGUUUAAAAUUUCAUCACAUCCAACCUCAAUAAAGAUCCAACUAGAAAGAAAAUAAAAAAAAAAAAAAAAAAAUCGACCAACCUGUUUACCACAUUGUGAUCAUAUCUAUAACCUAUUGUGAAUAUAAAUCACAGGUGAAUUUAUGAAUAUUAUGUUUUCUUGCACUUCCCUUUGCCUUAUAUAUCUGUAUUUUCUCUUUGCAGCACAGGCAGUGCCAUUAGUGAAGACAAUAAACUUCAAAAUUAUGAGCUCACUGAUAUUUGGAAUAGCGCAAAGUGCAAACAGAGACAUACUCGGAGAGCUCUACCAACAACCGGUGAAAAGUGUUCUUUCUGUACCGAUCAAUUUCCCCUUCACAUGCUUCAAUCACAGCCUCCAAGCAAGAGAAAAGACCAGAACGAUAAUCUUGUAUCUUAAACAUGAAAAGAGGGCUACUUUGGAGCAUCAAAUCACCAUUCCUUAGCCAGAUCUCUUCACCAUCUUGCUUGGUUUCCUAAAUGAAGACAAUUCUGUUGUAUAUCUGAUGAUGAAAUUGUAGAUAGUGCUAUCAAUAUAAUGAAAGCAGGACAUGACACAACUUCCAUCCUCAGUUUCUUGAUCAAGCUUUUAGUCAAUGAUCCGUCUGUUUAUGGCAGCAUUGUUCAAGGUAUGCGACUAAAUUCUUGAAAAUCUCUAAAAUUUGAGACUGCAGAACAAGAGGACACUGCCAAGAGUAAGGUGUCAAAGGACCUAUUAGCAUGGGAUGAUCUCGCAAGAAUAAAAUAAUUUAUUUUUAAUAUUUAUUUUUAAUAUCAGUGUAUUAAAAUAAUUUAAAAACACUAAAAAAAUAUUAAUUUUAAAAAAAUAAAAAACAUUUAAACUUUUUUAAAAACACUCUUAACACACAAAAAUAAAGACGCCCUGCUAAUUCUGUAUUCCUAAAACAUCUGGUUUUCAUGUGCAAUCGUAGGGACGAAGGGGAAAGAAAGGAAGAAAAAAAAUAAAAUAAAUAAAGACAGAAAGGUUAAUUAGGGCUUCAUUUAACGGUUUUAUUAUUAUUAUUAUUAUUAUUAUUAUUAUUAUUAUUUUGCAUACAAUUGACUCUCCCAAAUCAUAAUCACUAAGAACCUAGCUCCAGGUUAAGUGGGUUUACCACUCAAAGUCGUGACCAGUUCAACUUGCAAUCUCCUUUAUACUAAAAAUAAUAAUAAACCUUGCAACCUCCUAGGUUUUCAGGUUAAAAUAGCCUGGUUAUACCACUAGGAAUAAUCAUUUACUCAACCAAUAAUCAAACGGUUAACAUUUAUUUAAUACUUUAGUGGUUAUUGUGAUACAGUUUAAAAGGAUGAAUUUAAAAAAACUAUAAAUUAUAGCUUUUUCAACUAAAAUUUUAAGAUAUAUUUUUUAAUAAAAUAUAUAUAAAACUAUGAUAUAUGUUGAUUAAUUAUUAAAUACUUGUUAAUUUUAAAUUUGUGGUUGAAAUAAAAAUUAAACUGUACAACAUUGUAUGAUCACAUAACUAAAUAAUGGAGCCUUGGAUGAAAAAUCUAAAUGAAAUUGCUUUCCUAAUAAAAUUGGUGGACAGCGUGAAGAUUGCAUUGCAUCAUGGCAUUGUCUCUACAAAUAUAUGAUAGCUAAGACCAAGUGCUUCCAGCUUUUCCGAGUGUUUUCAUUAUCACAAUUAUUGCACUCGAUAAUAUCUCUGGCUCUCUACAAGUUUGCUUCCGAAUAUCACUCUCUCUUGUCCCUUCUUUUGUCACUGUAACCAAGCUUUUUCCUUGCACAGAUUAUCUCUCACUUCUCUCUUAAAUCUUCAAAUCUGUGUGUGUGGUUCUUGAUCAGGUGGAGCUGGCUACCAUGGAGGUUCAGAACCAAGAGCACCAAAAACCCAACACAGACCAAGUGGUUCUUUCCGUGGAUCAACCAGACUCCAAACUCAGACAGUCACCAUCACCACAGCAACCAGACUCCAAAGCCCCCCUCUCUAAAACCCUGGCAAGAACAAAUACCCUCCGCCGUCUCAACUUCUCCAAGCCCAAAUCUCGUUUCAGUGAGACAAACUACCCUCCCCCUUCCAGGAGCAGCCAUGAAUUCGAAGAAUAUUACCAACUACUAAACCCCCCCGAAAGCGCUUCCUCCAGUGAUGAGGAAGAUGAUGAAGAAUGGUAUGAAUAUGAAGAAGGAGGAGGGGAAGAAGUUGAUGAUGCUGGAGAUUCCAAAAAACAUUCCAAGAACGGAAGGAGAAGGAUAAUAAAGAUAAAAAAGAGAGCCUUGAUUGAGUUCAUAUUGUUUCUAAUAAGCAUGACCUGCUUAAUUCUCUCUCUAACCCUUGAAUCCCUCAGAAACAAGGUCCUAUGGGGUUUACUUUUAUGGAAAUGGUGCCUUAUGGUCCUGGUUAUCUUCUGUGGCCGCCUUGUGUCGGUUUGGCUUGUAGGUUUUCUUGGUUUUCUCAUAGAACGCAACUUCAUGCUCAGAGAAAAGGUACUCUACUUUGUUUUUGGUUUGCGAAAGAGUUUUCAACACUGUGCAUGGCUAGGACUGGUUCUACUUGCAUGGAUGAGUAUGUUCCAUGAUGCCCACAAACGCAACAAGACCUUGAAGAGGACUUUCCGCGUUCUGAUUGCCGUCUUCGUCGGAGCUACAUAUGGUUACUAAAGAUUUUACUCGUCAAGGUUCUUGCUUCAUCUUUCCAUGUUGCUACCUUCUUUGACCGCAUGAAAGAAAGCGUCUUCCACCACUACAUUCUCGUUACACUCUCCGGGCCACCAUUAGAUGAGAAUGAGAGGGAAACUCCCCGUCGGCUGACGCCGAGGCAUUCGAGGAGAUUGCCGGCGAAACAGAGAGAGAUGGCCUCGCCAGACAUGCCUAUAUCAAAAUCCAAGAGGUACGAGUCGAGGAGAAUCGAUAUGGAGAGGCUGAGGAAGCUGACUAAGAUGACUAGGGCAACCGCUUGGAGUGUGAAGAGGUUGGGCAGUUACAUUAAGUCAUCGGGAUUGUCGACGGUCUCGAGGACGGUCGAUGAUUUUGGUAAUGCAGAAUCGGAGAUCAACAGUGAAUGGGAGGCUAGAUGCAGUGCUCAAAGGAGUUUCAGGAAUGUCGCCAAACCUGGUGCCAAGUAAGUUCAAUUUCUUCUGCUAGCCUUUCUGGUUAAUUAAUUAUAUGAACAUUUGAUAUUAAUUAUAUAUUUAUUCCUUUAUACAGUAGAGAUAAUUAACCGAUCUCAAUUAUGCUAGCCUCAAGAUGAAAGUUACAAUAACAAAGUCAAGUUUUGGACAAUUUUCUAUAAACUUAGAUUAUAUUUAGUAUGAUUUUUGUAAAUUAAUUUAAAUUCUCUUUUAAUUUAAAUGAAAACAAGUCAUAGAACUUUUGACUUGGAUCAAAAGUUUAUUAUAAAAUUGAGUCAAAAUUAUGUUUUUUAAUUUAAAUUUGAAAAUUCUGACUUAUAUCUUCCUUUAGAAAAAUUAUUUGAGUUUUUUUUAUAAAUCAUGUUUUGAAAUGGUUAUAACUUAUUUUUUUCAUAAAUUAUUUAUAAAAAAAAACUUUUAGAUUAUGAUUUAAAGUUAAAAAUCAUGUCAAACAAAUUCAAAAUUAUUAAUUUCUGAUGCUUUUCUUAUAAUAAGACAAUAGUUGUUUGCGUUUUCCUAGAAUUUUCUAUAAAUCUAUUUGAGAUAAAUAGUUUUUUUAUGCAAUUUCAAAUAUGAAGAAAGUCUUUGUUUUUUAUUAGUAAAACUUACUAUUUGAAAUUCAACGAAUUUCUUGUUUUCUUGUGAAAUAAUUGAAAUGAAUGAACUUUUUACCAUAAAGUGAAAUUCAACGGAUUUCUUGUUGUAUUAUUGUUUUUGUUGUCUUCUUAUGAAAUAAUUAAAAUGAAUGAACUUUUUACUAUAAAACAAAAUUCAACGGAUUCCUUGUUUUUUAUUUUUUUGUCUUCUUGUGAAAUAAUUGAAAUAAAUAAUCUUUUUACCAUAAAAUAAAAUCCCCCUCCUCCUAUUUUUUUUUUAAAAGAUAGUUUUAUUAAUAAAUAAUAGAACAUUAAAUAAAAAUAUCAAUUUGUUUGAAUUUGAUACAUACAAUAAUCUUCAAUUUAUUAAGAAUUUUUAAUUUUAUCAGCAUUAAUGAAUCUAAUUUUUUUUAUUUUGCUAGAAAUACAUAAAGAAUGGUAAACUUCUUCCCUUACAAACAAAAUUAUAUUUAGAUUAAUAUCUAUAUCUAAAAUUUUAAAAUAAAAAAUUAGAUUCAAUCAUUUCUAGAUAAAUUAUACAUGGUUGAAUUCCAUGUUAUGUGAUUUGCUAGCUUCCAUUAUUUUUAAACUGUAAUCAUUGCUCGUUUUUGUUUUUUUUUGUUUUGUCUUUUUGGUAAAAGACUUUCAACUUUUCGAGUCUAUCGAGGCACAUAAAUCCUUGACUGUUUCUCGGCAGUGGCACAUUUGAUGGUGUGGGGUUGACGUUCAACGUUUUUCAAAAUUCACACCUGGGAAACCUCAACCCUCCUCUGUUCCUUUCUGAUUUUAGCUCUCGAAAGCCAAUCAUAGCCAUACAAAUCAACAAAACAAGGAGUACGAUCAGGAAGGGUAGUCAGUCCGAGUUAUUGAUGGAUAAAUCGGGUAAUUAACAUAUAAUAUAGUACGCUCCUAAUUAUAAAUGGAUAAAAUAAAAAAAUAACUAAUUAACAUGGUAGCAAAAAAAUGUGGUAAAUCAUCGGUGGGUGGUUAGGUGGGGGUGUUGGUAAAUAGGUAUGUUCUCAUAUGAUCUCUAGUUUAACUCUCUACUUAUUAAUAUUUUGAUGGUGAUGAAUCGCAAUAUAUAUAUAUAUAUAUAUAUAUAUAAAUCUUGGUGAAACAAGGUAUUUUUAGCUGUUAGAUAUUUAAUUAAAUGUUAUAUUUUAAAAUUAUGUUAUUAAUUAAAUUCAGAACUAAUAAGUAGAUGAGUUUAUGAGAAAAAUUAUAAAAUUAUCAAAACUUAGUAGUUAGAAUAGCAAUUUCAUAGCUAUUAUAUAUAUAAAAAAAACAUUUAGAAACUCUAUAAAAAAAUUACUAAACCCUGUCAAAACUUUUAACUCACUAUAUGCUAAUUGUUUUUUAAAAAAUUCAUUAUAUAGCUAUCUAGCUGCAAUAAUAUUCUAGUACCUGUAACCAAAAAAACUAAAAAAUUAAUUAAAUUGAGAAAAAUAAAAAAUGUAACAAAAAAUUAAUAAAACCAAAAAAAAAAAAACCAAACUCAAUUCAGUUUAAUUUAAAAAACUAAAACCAAUCAAAUUAAUUCAAACUGAAAUAAAUAGAGUUCAAGCCAGGAGUAUAAAUAUUAAAGUCUCCUUUCUUUUCACCUCUGUACCUCAAUCUCUAUGUUUUAAUUUUGUAUUUUACUUUUAAUAAUAUAAACUGAAUUUGAAUUAAAAUUAAUUGGUUUGAAUUGAAUUUAAUUUAAUUUUAAUUUUAAUUUUAAAAAUAAAUAAAUAAUUUUUUAAUUUAAAACUAAACUAAAUAAAAAAUGUAUCGCAUUACAGACAUUGCAACAGAAGUUGAGGUGGAUUGUUUUAAUUCAUUAUGAUUUAAAGCAAUUAUAUCAGGUAUAUUCAUUUUUUUUCUCAAAUAAAAUUCAGAUUUAUCAUUAAAAUUAUUUAUUAAUCUAUUUUUGCAUUAAGAGAAGAGAAUAUAGCUGCAACUCCCGAUGUCCGAUUUAAAGUAAUGGUGAUUUUGGCAUUUGCUGCUUAAAACUUCAAUCUAUAUCACUCAUUAUAAGUCUCGAGCUGCAUUCUCGAAACUGUUUAAAAAUAAUGUUGGUAUAAUUAUUUUAUAAAGUGUUUUUUAUUUAAAAAUAUAUUAAAAUAAUAUAUUUUUUAUUUUUAAAAAAUUAUUUUUGAUAUCAACGCAUUAAAAUAAUUUUUAAAUAUCAAAAACGUAUUAAUUUAAAGCAAAUAAAAAAAAUUAAAAAUUAAAAAAAUUUUAAAAGCGCUUUUAAAACAUCUUUUCAUUCAGAAAUGUAUCAAAAUAAUGUUUUUUUUAUUUUUUUUUUAAUUUAUUUUUUAUAUAAAUACAUUAAAAUAAUUUAAAAACAUUAAAAAUAUAUUCAUUUGAAGUAAAGAAAAAAUUAAUUUUAAAUUUUUAAAAAAAACUUUUAAAAUUUAAAAACAAAUUGGGUCUUAGAUUUGAAUUCUCUGCGGCUCAUUGUAUAGUUACAUUUUUAGUCCCAGUCUAACUUUGAUGAGUUGUCUGACAAAAUUCCAAUAAUCUGAUCUGUUUCCAUUUUGGAUCAUCAUUUCAGAUUAAUUUUUAUUCUCUAACUUUUGGGUUUCACACGGUCACAAAAGAUAUAAAUAAAAUAAAAUAAAUAAAUAAGCACACGAGCCAUGUAAAAUUUGUGGUUAAUUAGCUAAUUGUGUACCUGUACUACAACUCAGCAAAAUUAACAACAAAGCUUUUUUGAGUUAAAAGACAUGUCCAGUAUUGAAAAUACAUUAAAAACUAAUUUACAAUUCGAGUCAUAAAUGUAAUUAAAUUAAAGAAAUUAGUUUUUAUCAUUUUACAGUGUUCAAAAAAUGAAAAUGCAUUAAAGAAAAUCAACAACGCGAGUUAUAAAUUUAAUUGGAUUAAAUAAAUUGAUUUUUAUUAGUAAUUGAUCUUGAAGAUUUGUUUCAUGCUAUUUUUUAGCUUUUUAUAACUAGAUCAAGGUUGGGAGAGAUCAUUAAUUUUUUUUUUUUGUAUUUUUAAAAUCAAUUUGAGGGUGGUUGGGUUAUGGAAUUAGUUUCUUAAGGUUAUAAAAGCAUGUUUUCAUGUGAUUUUAAGUGAAAAUAAAUUAAAAAAUAGAUCUUGGAGGUCAAAAAUUAAACAUCUUGAUUUUCAAGCCACCUUUGUUGUUGUCAAAUUCUGGGCAGCAAUCAAUAUAUCAUUUGCUUCAAUUUUAUUUUUUUUAUAAAAGGUUUAGGUGCGAAGACCUGAGCCAUCGAGGUCCUGGCCUGCAUCUAGGUUUUUCUUUUUAAAAAUAAUUUUAAAUAUAUAUAUAUACACACACACUUUCUUUUAAAAAUUUUAAUUAAUUAAUAAUAUUUUUUAGAUAUUAUUUUAUUUAGUCCCAUUUAAUUUUUACUUUGUUCUUGAACAAUAAUAGCUCUUUUUUGUAACCCAUUUUUUUUGUUACUUUACUAUGGACGCUAAUUUUUAUUAUUAUAUAAUUAAAUAAAAAAUAGUUUCAAAAAAAUAAAUUUAUCAAACGUAAUUGAGUUCAUGAUCUGAGUUGCAGGUUUAGUGGGUUAACCUGGAUUAAAUCGAUAUGUCACUACCUUAAUAUUAUUAAAAAUGAUCGUCUUGAAUUUUUUUUUUUAAGUAAAACUAUAUUUUUAUCUAAUGUUUUGGUUGCCUUUAAAACUGCAAAGUUCACUAAAUCAUAUCAUAACAACCCCCAUAUGAUUUAAUUUAAAAUCUUGGCUAGGAAAAGAUUCAAUAUUAAGAAGGUUUAAAGGAUGACUAACUAAGUCGGGUUUAAUAAAAAUUUCAAAAAGAUUCUGGCAACAACACACGAGCAUUAUAUAAUUGUUUUAUACAUAUGCUUUAAAUUGAUUAGAUGUUAUUUUAUUAGAAUUAAAAUUUGCUUUUGGAAUGGUGAGAGAAUCUUAUUUAAGAAACUAUUGUUCUUAUAAAAAAAAAUUAAAAAGAAAAAAGCACAUUAAUGAGACAAAGGGAUUGAGUUUGAGAUAAAUCUCUUUUAUCCUUAUUUUAAAUUAUAUUAUUUUUUUGGGUAUGUCUUCUUGAUGAUUUUUUUGGGUAUGACAUAUUUCCUUCAAUUAAAGAUAUUAAUAAGAAAAAGUAGAUUUAUACUAGCAAAUUAUUUUAUUUCAAUCAAAUUUAAAUUAUUAAUAUUCUUGUAAAAAAAUAUUAGUGUCAUAUAAUUAAGUAAACAAAAUUAAAGGUUUUUUGUAGUUUAUAUAUGAUAAGAUAUCUUGGUCUAUAUUUAUUUUUUAAUUUCAUUACUUAGUUUUUUAGUUAGCGUUAAGAUCUCUUUUUAGUAUUUAUUGACACAUAUAAUUCUCAUUCUAUUUUGUUAAAUACAUGAAUAGAUUUUGUGUUAAUGAUAAAAAUAUUUGAAAACAUUACUCUGAUUAUCCUAUAAUUUAAUUAUUCUUCACUUUUCCUUUAAAAAGUUUUUAAAUUACAAUUCACAUUAAAAACUUUAUAAAUUCAUAACAUUUUUCAUUGUAUCUAAAAAAGUCAAUAAAAAGAGUCUAAUUAUUCACAAAAUUUUCAUUAUAUUCUAAUUAAUAACUAAAAAGACAUUCUAUUGUUAAAAUUAUAAAAUUAUCAUAAAAAAAAUAAAAAAUAAAAACUUUUUCCAGAAUUCGACAACCCAAUCCCAAAAAACUCCCUCACAGAGUAACUUUAACGAUAAAUGAGACCUUACAAAAACUAAAUGAGAUAGAAUUCUACUUGGUUGAGCAGCACACCAAAGUUUUGUUCUAUGAAACCACUGCCCAUUAUCCCGGCUUAGAUGUCUCUUCUAAUGGGUGGUUUAAGCAACACCAAAUAUCAAAACUGAACUGUUGCUAAAUAAAUUUGGUAGCUUGGAAUGCAACAUGCGGUUCCAUGUGGCUUGAAAAAUAUUAAAGAGUAAUAUAAAAUUAUUUUUACAAUUUCAUUUAAUAAUUUAAAUUUUGAAUUUAAAAUAGUUUUUAAACAUGAUAUUAGAUAUAAUUUUAAAACCCGGCCCGGCCCGGUAGGUCAACCUGGAACCCGGUCUAUCCAGGGUUGAAACCGAGCCGAGUUGAAAAAAAAACAGGAAAAGAAAAAACCCGGUAUGACCCGACGGGUUGACCCAGUGACCUGGUUGACCAGGCAAGACCUGGUCAAAAACCCGGUUGCAACCUGUUGACUUUUUUUUUUUUACUAAAACGGUGUCGUUUUAAUUUAAAAAAAAAUUUGACCCGGACGACCCAGUGACCCGGUCAAAACUCGGAACCUGGGUCUUGGACCUAGCCGGGUCUAAAAACUAUAAUAUUUGAGUUUUAUUGAUUAAAUGUUUAUGAGUUCAAAUCUCAUUACUUUUAUUCUAAUUAAUAAAAAUUAAACACAAAAUAAUAAAGAUAUCUACUAGUUUCAAACUCAAAAAAAUUUUAUUUGAAGGAGUGUAUUAGAUAAUAAUAUAAAAUUAUUAUUAAAAUUUUACUUAAUAACUUAUAUUUUUUAAUGGAGAUAAUUAUUUAACAAAAACAUCAAUCUAGAUCAUGCAAAGUUUUGUAGUCAUGACUAAACCUCAAAGACGGGAAAAAAUAAAUAUAUGAUGUAUAUAAUCUCAAAUCCACUCGGGGAAGGUGAAUAUUGAUAUAUAAUUGGAAAAAAUAUACAAAAUGAGGGUGGAUUUUCAAUGUUUUCUCCAGCAAAAAAAAGUCCAUCUAAGACAAAUUUCAAUGGCAAUGAUAUGCAUCGAUCCCCAUGUUUGGUAAAGUCAACAACACCCACCUAGGCCAGCGGUGGCUGUUGAUUGAAGGCCACUUUCAGCCAAGUAAUCUCAGUAGGGUUAGUGAAGGUAGAUCAUGCAGUAGCCAGGAGAAAAUUUGGAAAUUUAGUGUGAGGGUUAAGAUUUACAAAUUAGGGAUGAGAGUUUGUGAGUGUUUAUGUUACAUUAUAUAUUGGAGGACAUUUGUUUUUUAUUUAAAUUUAAAAUUUAUAUUAAUUGGGAAUUAAAUUGUAAUUUCUAAAAGAAUAAAGAUAAAAUACAUGUGAUUAGAGUAAUUUUCUAAUCUUUUUACUAUUUAAAAAUAAUUUAUUUACUUAAAAAAAACUAUUAUCGUCUACAGUUAAUACGGACAGUUAUUUAGUGAUCACUAAGUGUGUAUUUUUGUUGACAUAUUUUUUUUUUUGAAUGUUUUAAGGUAUAUUGAAGAGGAAGAUCUACUAAGGUUCUUAAAGACUAUAGAGGUUCAUUCCAUAUUUCCUCUCUUUGAAGGAGCUGUUGAGACUGGAAAAAUCACAAAUCCUCUUUCAGAAAUUGGGUGGUAAGCAACCCAAAACCCACAUUUAAAAAAAAAAAAAUGGAUCUUAAAGCCCUCACCUUACUAUGUUUACACAUAAUAAAGAAGAAAAUCAUAAAAAAUAAUUUAUUUAUUUAUUUAUUUUUGGUGAUUAAAGGAUGCUUGCUUUCAAAUCAGGAUCAAUAAUUUGUUGAGUACUUGACAUAGAAGAUUCAAUGAUUAAUUAAUUAUCACUUCAUCACCCACAUUAACCCAUAUGGUGUGCAUUUGAUUCCUGAAUUCCAUACACAAUACCAUUUUCCCUCUUUAACCUCUAUAAUCAAGGACUAAAAUGAGAUUAACUUUUCUUGUAUUUAAGGGAAAGCAUAUCAACAAUUUAUUCAAAGACGUAUAAUUUCCUUCUUUGCUAUGUUUAUGUUUUCAAUUGCUAGGUGCAUGCCUAUGUUGAGAGGAAAGCAUUGGCACAUUCCUUGAAUGAUACCAAGGUUGCUAUCCAGCAACUUCACAGGUUAGCAAGUGCAAUAAUGACUCUAAUUAUAAUUGUGAUCUCUCUUCUGGUGACGGGAUUGGCGACAACCAAGGUUUUAUUUGUUUUCACAUCUCAACUGCUACUCGUGGGGUUCAUGUUCCAAAACACUUGCAAAAGUAUCUUUGAGUCCAUCAUCUUCGUCUUGUCAGCAUCCUUUUGAUGUGGCGAUCGUUGUGUUGUCGAUGGCAUCCAGGUAAAGAAAAUAUAUUAAUUCUUAAAGAUGGUUGAGUGAGAAGAUUUUAUAUAUUUGUUUUCUAAUAUGUUGCAGAGGUCGUGAAGAUGAACAUUUUGACGACUGUGUUUACGUAUGAUGCGGAGAAGAUAAUAUCCCAAUUCUGUUCUUCUUACAAAGCCUAUCAGUAAUUUCAGAAGAAUCCAGACAUGGGGGAUGGUAUGACAUCACCAUUGAUGUCUCCACUUCUGUUGAUGACUUCAAUGCUCUAAAAAAGCUAUACAAAUGUAAGUUAUUAAUCUCAUUGCAUUCAAAAUAUUUCUAGUGUUAGACACAAUUACUUCUUAAAGUACUUAGCUUGCCUAAAC